GGCUUGGUGGUCUAGUGGUAUGAUUCGCGCUUAGGGUAUAGCCUAGGCAUAUUUUGCGCGAGGUCCCGGGUUCAAGCCCCGGCCAAGCCC